rnacentral:rRNA from 1 species
GUGCCAGCAGCCGCGGUAAGACGAACCGUGCGAACGUUGUUCGGAAUCACUGGGCUUAAAGGGCGCGUAGGCGGCCUUGAAAGUCGGGGGUGAAAUCCCACGGCCUAACCGUGGAAGUGCCUCCGAUACUGCAGGGCUCGAGGGAGGUAGGGGCAGCUGGAACUUCCGGUGGAGCGGUGAAAUGCGUUGAUAUCGACAGGAACGCCGGUGGCGAAAGCGGAUUGCUGGUCCUUUUCCGACGCUGAUGUGCGAAAGCCAGGGGAGCAAACGGGAUUAGAUACCCGUGUAGUCC